UCGAGGAUCUUCGUCAAUGGGCGCAAGCCUGAACGAGCGAUGCCGCGUGAGCGAUGAAGGCCUUCGGGUUGUAAAGCUCAAAAGAGAUGAGAAAGGGAAACUUGAUCGAAUCUCAGUAAGCUCGGGCUAAGUUCGUGCCAGCAGCCGCGGUAAGACGAACCGAGCGAACGUUGUUCGGAAUCACUGGGCUUAAAGGGCGCGUAGGCGGAUUCUCAAGUCCGGGGUGAAAUCCCACAGCUCAACUGUGGAACUGCCUCGGAUACUGGGAGUCUCGAGGGUGGCAGGGGUAUGCGGAACUAUCGGUGGAGCGGUGAAAUGCGUUGAUAUCGAUAGGAACUCCGGUGGCGAAGGCGGCAUACUGGUCCACUUCUGACGCUGAGGCGCGAAAGCCAGGGGAGCAAACGG
rnacentral:rRNA from 1 species